AUUGAGUGGGGAGCAAGAGAGAGAGCAAGGGACUACAACUUUAUUGGGAUCCCGGGCAUUAUCCAAGCAGACUCAUUUCAGUGGCAAUGUAAAUUUGGGAGAACGAAAUUAUCAUCUCACAUCUGCCACCAACUGCUGUUAGCUGUAGAAUGUCAUACGCGUCCAUGUGAAGAGACCACCAAACAGGAUUUGUGAUAUUGCCACGGUUUCUACGGGACUGAACAAAGGGGGACCCACACAGGAAUGAAAACUUAAAACAAAACAGCCACUAAGGAAGGCGCAGAGGGACUUCCUUUCGGCCCGAAACAGUAUCUGUGCUGCCAAAUUUAUCAACACAACUGUCAGAGAGAUCCUUUAAAAUAUAAAAAAAGAUCAUGUCUCUCCUCGGCCUAGAUAUCCUCUGCUGGCAUUCAUCUCAGGGAAGGAAAAUGCAAAUCUUUACAGGAGCUUCCAAGGACUUAUGAAGCCAACAUGAGUUCCCCAGUGGUUCUGCUGCAGCAACACUGUCUUCCUGCUCUCACUGAACACAGGAGGCUCAUUCCCAAGUCAAGGCAUUUGCAUUUUCUGUUUCCUUUGCCUGGGAUUUUCUCCCAUCAGAUAUCAGCAUGACUUAUUCUUUAUCUUUUUCCAUCUGUGGUGAAAUAUCAUUUCACCCUCUUUCUUUCACCCACUUUAAAUGUGCAAACCUCCCUAACCUCAGUGUUUGUUAUCCCCUUUCCCUGUUUUAAAAAUAGAGGCUAAUACCGUCUGA
rnacentral:lncRNA from 1 species